GACGAAAAUAUGCAUUAAUAAUAAAUAGUAGCGCAACUAUUGGUACUACCACAACUACCGGAUCAGCUACCCUAUGUUCUCAUUUAAAGGAAAUUACAGAAAAACGGAAGCGAUAGUUACGAAAGGAAAAAGCUUGAUCCAGAUUAAAACACGGAUUCCGUCGAUGAUUUUUAUAUGAGAGAUAGCAAAGCUUCUCGUAGGAUUUAGGAAGCAGCAAUGAACUAUGCCGGAAAUGUUUGUUACUUUUAGUAAAGCUCACAUUCGCUUAGUAUUCUGCACAAAACAUUUUCGCAAAAUCAACUUAAUCGACAAUGGGUUUCAAAUUGUUCUUGCAAAGGAAAGGGAGUUGCUGAACAAGUACCUAUACUUGUGGAGUUGCCGUUCUAUUAAAAAUUAACCAAGAGCGAAACAAAGUCCAACCAAGGAAAUAUUUGGAAACACCACUAGUCCGCUGUCAUCGGCAAAAAUACAAGAGGCCAACAACAGUGUAGAGAACAUUCUUAGCCGGGAUUCUCCAUCGAAGGCUGUCGAUUUAAUUGGCAGCAGCAGCAAUGAAAUUUCAAAGUCCGACGAAGGCAAACAUACGCAGCUACUGAGGAAACAACGUGUAGUGCACAAAAAGAACCAAAAACCGUCAACUAUGGUGGGAAGCGUUUAGUGAAUACACGCUGGUUGCUGAAAGAAUCUGCAAACUCAUCAACUUCCUCAUUGGAAAAUGAAGCAGCAACGUCCAAGCAUUCAUCCGUUGAAAAUAAAAGUGAUGGAUCCAGUAAAUCGAGCAACCCGAAAAAUGAGUUGGUUGUCUCGAUUUUGCAACAGCCAGUUGAUCGAGAAAAGCUUCGUACUGGAGAAGAAUCUACGCAAGACAUUGGCUAAUCUUAACAAACUGGAUAAAAUGCUACCGGAGAAUAAAAGCCUAUUAGAUGUUCCAAUUUUAGCUGUUUUCAACUGUCGGUUGCGGAUAUUCAGGACACAUUCCCGGAAAAUGAGUACGAGCUAAAGAAAAUAUUUGAUCGCUACAAAGAUAUCAAAAUUACCGGUGGCAACUAAGUAGCAGAUUGGAGGAGUUUGUACCACCAGAGAAUUUUUCCCAUCAAUGCACUACACGAACCAUAAGAAGGCAUUGGGCCAUAUCAGACUGCAGGAAGAAACCAUCCCGUUCGAGCUAUCUUACGUCGCUGACGUGCAGCAGAAAAAAGAGUCGAUGAAGCUGCGUGUGGAUACUUAUCGUAAAUUAAGUUCAUUUGUUGAUUUAUGUCUUGUUUGGCGUUAUGCAGAUGUACGUGAGGCCUUGGUGAGAACGAUGGAUUUUACGUUCUAACGGAAACAACUUGUUUUCGAUUUACUUUGUACUGAUAUACACUUAAGAAAUACUACUUAGAUCUAUUUUCAACUGAAAUUUUAAAUAAAUGA